GAUGAAGAACGUAUCGAAAUGCGAUAAGUAAUGUGAAUUGCAGAAUUCAGUGAAUCAUCGAAUCUUUGAACGCACAUUGCGCCCGCCAGUAUUCUGGCGGGCAUGCCUGUUCGAGCGUCAUUUCAACCCUCAAGACCCCUUCGGGGGACUUGGUGUUGGGGACCGGCACAGGGGCCUGCCUGCUUGUCUUGCAGCGCCCUCGCCGCCCCCGAAAUGAAUUGGCGGCCUCGUCGCGGCCUCCCCUGCGUAGUAGCACAACCUCGCAACGGGAACGUGACGGCGGCCACUGCCGUAAAACAACCCAAUUUUAUUAGAGUUGACCUCGAAUCAGGUAGGAAUACCCGCUGAACUUAAGCAUAUCAAUAAGCGGAGGA
rnacentral:misc_RNA from 1 species